CCUACGGGAGGCAGCAGUAGGGAAUCUUUCACAAUGGGCGAGAGCCUGAAGGAGCAACGCCGCGUGCAGGAUGAAGGCCCUCGGGUUGGAAACUGCUUUUAUAAGCGAGACAUAUGAUGGUAACUUAUGAAUAAGGAUCGUCUAACUACGUGCCAGCAGACGCGGUCAUACGUAGGCUACGAGCAUUAUCCGGAGGGACUGGGUGUAAAGAGUUGCGUAGGUGGCAUAAUAAGUAGCUAGUGGAAUCUGGUGGCUCAACCAUUCAGACUAUUAGCUAAACUGUUAAGCUCGAGGCCGUUAGGGGUAACUGGAAUUUCUAGUGUAGGAGUGAAAUCCGUAGAUAUUAGAAGGAACACCAAUAGCGUAGGCAGGUUGCUGGGACGGUUCUGACACUAAGGCACGAAAGCGUAGGGAGCAAACGGGAUUAGAUACCCGUGUAGUC
rnacentral:rRNA from 1 species